rnacentral:rRNA from 1 species
GUAGUCAUAUGCUUGUCUCAAAGAUUAAGCCAUGCAUGUCUAAGUAUAAGCAAUCAUACUGUGAAACUGCGAAUGGCUCAUUAUAUCAGUUAUCGUUUAUUUGAUAGUACCUUACUACAUGGAUAACCGUGGUAAUUCUAGAGCUAAUACAUGCUAAAAACCUCGACUUCGGAAGGGGUGUAUUUAUUAGAUAAAAAACCAAUGCCCUCUGGGCUUCUUGGUGAUUCAUAAUAACUUCACGAAUCGCAUGGCCUUGCGCCGGCGAUGGUUCAUUCAAAUUUCUGCCCUAUCAACUUUCGAUGGUAGGAUAGGGGCCUACCAUGGUUUCCACGGGUAACGGGGAAUUAGGGUUCUAUUCCGGAGAGGGAGCCUGAGAAACGGCUACCACAUCCAAGGAAGGCAGCAGGCGCGCAAAUUACCCAAUCCCGACACGGGGAGGUAGUGACAAUAAAUACUGAUGCAGGGCUCUUUUGGGUCUUGCAAUUGGAAUGAGUACAGUCUAAAUCCCUUAACGAGGAACAAUUGGAGGGCAAGUCUGGUGCCAGCAGCCGCGGUAAUUCCAGCUCCAAUAGCGUAUAUUAAAUUUGUUGCAGUUAAAAAGCUCGUAGUUGAACCUUGGGCCUGGCUGGCCGGUCCGCCUCACCGCGUGUACUGGUCCGGCCGGGCCUUUCCUCCUGGGGAAGCGCAUGCCCUUCACUGGGUGUGUCGGGGAACCAGGACUUUUACUUUGAAAAAAUUAGAGUGUUCAAAGCAGGCCUUUGCUCGAAUACAUUAGCAUGGAAUAAUAGAAUAGGACGUGUGGUUCUAUUUUGUUGGUUUCUAGGACCGCCGUAAUGAUUAAUAGGGAUAGUCGGGGGCAUCAGUAUUCAAUUGUCAGAGGUGAAAUUCUUGGAUUUAUUGAAGACUAACUACUGCGAAAGCAUUUGCCAAGGAUGUUUUCAUUAAUCAGUGAACGAAAGUUAGGGGAUCGAAGACGAUCAGAUACCGUCGUAGUCUUAACCAUAAACUAUGCCGACUAGGGAUCGGGCGAUGUUAUCUUUUGACUCGCUCGGCACCUUACGAGAAAUCAAAGUCUUUGGGUUCUGGGGGGAGUACGUCAGCAAUGAUGAAACUUAAAGAAUUGACGGAAGA